CCUACGGGCGGCACCAGUAGGGAAUCUUCGGCAAUGGACGAAAGUCUGACCGAGCAACGCCGCGUGAGUGAAGAAGGUUUUCGGAUCGUAAAACUCUGUUGUUAGAGAAGAACAAGUAGGAGAGUAACUGCUCUUACCUUGACGGUAUCUAACCAGAAAGCCAUGGCUAACUACGUGCCAGCAGCCGCGGUAAUACGUAGGUGGCAAGCGUUGUCCGGAUUUAUUGGGCGUAAAGCGAGCGCAGGCGGUCUUUUAAGUCUGAUGUGAAAGCCCUCGACUCAACCGAGGAAGGUCAAUGGAAACUGGAGGACUUGAGAGCAGAAGAGGAGAGUGGAAUUCCAUGUGUAGCGGUGAAAUGCGUAGAUAUAUGGAGGAACACCAGUGGCGAAGGCGACUCUCUGGUCUGUAACUGACGCUGAGGCUCGAAAGCGUGGGGAGCAAACAGGAUUAGAUACCCGGGUAGUC
rnacentral:rRNA from 1 species